rnacentral:tRNA from 1 species
GCCUAAGUGGCGGAAUUGGUAGACGCGCACGUUUCAGGGACGUGUGAGCUAUGCUCGUGUGGGUUCGACUCCCUCCUUAGGCA